GCCGCGGUGGCGGAACUGGCAGACGCACAGGACUUAAAAUCCUGUGUCCCGCAAGGGACGUGCGGGUUCGAUCCCCGCCUGCGGCA
rnacentral:tRNA from 1 species